AGCUAGAUGCAUUCAUGCAUCCAUCUCCCUCUUGCCAAUUUCAAAUUCAUACAAACGUACCAUAGUGUUCUGUCUCUAGCUAACUCACAAAAUUAAGGCUGCUAUAGCUACCUUAAUCAAUUCACUUUGACGCACCAAUUAAGUAUAUGAGAGAUCCUCGAUCAUGCUACAAACUCUCUAGUCUCUACCAUCUCUGCCUUCUUAGUUAGUGAAUAUUGACCAUGCUCUGUAUCUAAAACCAGGAGUGGCUUCACUAAGAACAGGGCAUACAUGCAUUUUCGAAGUUACUAGAUUGCAGUUUUAGCAGUUUUUUCAGCAGAAGGAAGAUUUUGAGGAAAAGAAAGAUGGUGCACAACGGAUACAACUUAUACUGGAGUGGAUAUAGCUAGAGGAUUAUGAAGUGUGAUUAUUGUAGAUCUGGGCUCGACGCCAUCACCUCGUUCUUAGUUUUUCAGAGGAAUCCGUAAGAUCGAGGAGGAUAGACUGACAGGGUAAUUGCACAAUGUAAGUUUUUGUGACACAUUUAAUUUAUAGCAGCAGUUGAAGACUUUCCUAUAUAUUAAGCUUGGUGUGAUCUCAAUGAGGUUAAGGAUAUAUUGUUUUUUAAUACUCCUAUACGUUUCUUAUGUUCUUGCUCACUAAAUUAAGAUAUUUUCUUGGCUUUGUCUGAUCACAAAUGGAAUUUAAAGAAAGUGGGGGAGCAAAGUGAGAUAAAUGCAAACAAGGUAGCAAACUGUUCGUAAAUAGCUUUAUAUAUACUAUCUUCAACUAGCUAGUUGUAUAACCGAACAUGUGAUUCGAUGUUAUCUUAUCUCUUUGAGGCAGCAGAUUUAGAAUAGAAGUACCAGUAAAUCUUCAUAUUUGUCGUAUAAAGUUUGUUACAUACA